rnacentral:tRNA from 1 species
AGAGGUCUAGUUAAAUUUAUAACUUUGGGUUGUCAGGUCAAUAUUACUGGUUAGAUCCCGGUGGCUUCUG